ACAUGGGAUGAGGACUUUGAGCACGGAAAGAGUUACAUGGAGAAAGGUUUGAGAAGCUGAAGGAGGUGCUCUGGGUUUCCCUGGGUUUGCACACAAGCUCAGCCCAACAGGCACUGCCAAUAACUACACAGGGAGAGUGCACGAGGCCAAGCCCCUUCGUCCUUGCUGCCAUCACAAGAGAAGACUGGAUUCGCACUGAGACAAAUGGACUCACAUGUGUAUUAUAGCUAUGCAAGCGUAUUCCAAGUGGGGACCUCGAACCACAAAGCUGGAGUAAGAGAAACAGAAUGAAAGGAAUACAUGGCCGCAUUUGAGGAGUGCAGGAUUAUAUCAGCACUUGGGAUGAACAAGAAGAAGAAGAAAAAGAAGGAGGAGGAGGAGAAGGAGAAGAAGGAGGAGGAGAAGAAGAGACCAGACUUUUGAGAGCAGCCUGACUGGCAUAGUGAAACUGUAUCUUUAAAAACAAGACAGAGAAAUGUUUAUAUUUU
rnacentral:lncRNA from 1 species